rnacentral:rRNA from 1 species
ACUGCUCAGUAACACGUAGCUAAUCUGCCCUUAGGACGAGAACAACCCCGGGAAACUGGGGCUAACUCUUGAUAGGCGAAGAACUCUGGAAUGAGUCUUUACCUAAAAAGAUUCACGUUAUCCUCGUGAACCUGCCUAAGGAUGAGGCCGCGACCGAUCAGGUUGUUGGCGAGGUAAUGGCUCACCAAGCCUUUUACCGGUGCGGGCCGUGGGAGCGGGAGCCCGGAGAUGGGUACUGAGACAAGGACCCAGGCCCUACGGGGCGCAGCAGUCGCGAAACCUUUGCAAUAAGCGAAAGCUUGACAGGGCUAUCCCGAGUGCCAUCCGCUGAGGAAGGCUUUUACCCAGUCUAGAACGCUGGGGGAAUAAGGAGAGGGCAAGUCUGGUGUCAGCCGCCGCGGUAAUACCAGCUCUCCGAGUGGUGUGGAUGUUUAUUGGGCCUAAAGCAUCCGUAGCUGGCUAAGUUAGUCCCUUGUUAAAUCCACCGAAUUAAUCGUUGGAUCGCGGGGGAUACUGCUUGGCUAGGGGACGAGAGAGGCAGACGGUAUUUUCGGGGUAGGGGUGAAAUCCUAUAAUCCCGGGAAGACCACCAGUGGCGAAGGCUGUCUGCUAGAACGCGCCCGACGGUGAGGGAUGAAAGCUGGGGGAGCGAACCGGAUUAGAUACCCGGGUAGUCCCAGCUGUAAACGAUGCAGCUAGGUGUUUGGACGGCCACGUGCCGUUCUAGUGCCGCAGGGAAGCUGUUAAGCCUGCCGCCUGGGGAGUACGAUCGCAAGAUUGAAACUUAAAGGAAUUGGCGGGGGAG